rnacentral:rRNA from 1 species
UACGGAGGGUGCGAGCGUUGUCCGGAAUCACUGGGCGUAAAGGGCGCGUAGGCGGCUUCUUAAGCGUGUGGUGAAAGCCCGCGGCUCAACCGCGGGUCGGCCAUGCGAACUGGGAGGCUUGAGCACUGUAGAGGCAGGUGGAAUUCCGGGUGUAGCGGUGGAAUGCGUAGAGAUCCGGAAGAACACCGGUGGCGAAGGCGGCCUGCUGGGCAGUAGCUGACGCUGAGGCGCGACAGCGUGGGGAGCAAACAGG